rnacentral:rRNA from 1 species
AAUGUUGCGUAAUGGAGGAAACUCUGACGCAGCGACGCAGGGUGAGCGAUGAAGGUAUUCGGAUCGUACAGCUCUGUCCUUGGGGAAGGAGAUCGAAAGAUUUGACGGUACCCGAGGAGGAUGCUCCGGCUAACCACCUGCCACAAGCCGCAGUAAGACGCAGGGGGCGAGCGUUGCCGGGAAUUACUGGGCGUAAAGGUUACGUAGGCGGCUAUAUAAGUCAGGUGUGAAAUACCAGUGCUUAACACUGGAAUUGCAUUUGAAACUGUGUAGCUUGAGUUCAGGAGAGGAAAGUGGAAUUCCUAGUGUAGCGGUGAAAUGCGUAGAGAUUAGGAGGAACACCAGUGGCGAAGGCGACUUUCUGGACUGUAACUGACGCUGAGGUACGAAAGCGUGGGUAGCGAACA